rnacentral:rRNA from 1 species
AGUGAACGCUGGCGGUAUGCCUAACACAUGCAAGUCGAACGGCAGCACAGUAAGAUUUUGCUCUUACGGUUGGCGACUGGCGGACGGGUGACGAAUACAUCGCAAUCUACUUUUUCUUGGAUAAUUACGGCAGAACACUUAUGCUAAUACCUCAUACGUCCUACGGCUUAAAUCAGUGGAUCUUGAGACCUUGCGUGUUUCUUUUAGCUGAGGUCGGAUUAGCUAGUUGGCGGGGUAAAGGCCCACCAAGGCGACGAUCCGUAGCUGGUCUGAGAGGAUGAUCAGCCACACUGGAACUGAGACACGGUCCAGACUCCUACGGGAGGCAGCAGUGGGGAAUAUUGGACAAUGGGCGCAAGCCUGAUCCAGCCAUACCGCGUGGGUGAAGAAGGCCUUCGGGUUGUAAAGCCCUUUUGUUGGGAAAGAAAAGCAGCAGGUUAAUACCCCGCUGUUCUGACGGUACCCAAAGAAUAAGCACCGGCUAACUUCGUG